rnacentral:pre_miRNA from 1 species
GUUCUUGGUUUGCAGGCAGUGUAGUUAGCUGAUUGUAUCCCUAAUUCCACAAUCACUAAUUCCACUGCCAUCAAAACAAGGCAC